CCGACUGCUAUUUGGGUGAGAAUAAGCCAUGCGAGUUGAAUGGGAUACCUAAAUUUCCCAUAGCAAACUGCUCAGUAACACAUGAUCAACUUACCCUAUAGAGAAAAAUAACCUCGGGAAACUGAGGAUAAUGUUUCAUAAUUGAAUUGGCUUGGAAAAGUUUUUCAAUGAAAAGGAUAAAAAAAAUGGUUUUUAUCUGCUAUAGGAUAGGAUCGUGUUCGAUUAUGGUUGUUGGUGAGAUAAUGGCUCACCAAGCCGAUAAUCGAUAGGGGCCGUGAGAGCGGGAGCCCCGAGAUGGGUACUGAGACAACGACCCAGGCCUUACGAGGCGCAGCAGGCGCGGAACCUCCGCAAUACACGAAAGUGUGACGGGGUUACCCAAAGUGUUCAAUAGAACUGUGGUAGGUGAGUAAUGUCCCCUACUAGAAAGGAGAGGGCAAGGCUGGUGCCAGCCGCCGCGGUAAAACCAGCUCUUCAAGUGUCGGGAUAAUUAUUGGGCUUAAAGUGUCCGUAGCCGGUUUAGUAAGUUCCUGGUAAAAUCGGGUAGCUUAACUAUCUGCAUGCUAGGAAUACUGCUAUACUAGAGGGCGGGAGAGGUCUGAGGUACUACAGGGGUAGGGGUGAAAUCUUAUAAUCCUUGUAGGACCACCAGUGGCGAAGGCGUCAGACUGGAACGCGCCUGACGGUGAGGGACGAAAGCCAGGGGAGCGAACCGGAUUAGAUACCCGGGUAGUCCUGGCCGUAAACGAUGCAUACUAGGUGAUGGUACGGCCAUGAGCCGUAUCAGUGCCGUAGGGAAACCGUUAAGUGUGCCGCCUGGGAAGUACGGUCGCAAGGCUAAAACUUAAAGGAAUUGG
rnacentral:rRNA from 1 species